rnacentral:rRNA from 1 species
GUUUGAUGUUCUAACGUGGACCCGUUACCCGGGUUGCGGACAGUGUCUGGUGGGUAGUUUGACUGGGGCGGUCUCCUCCUAAAGAGUAACGGAGGAGCACGAAGGUUGGCUAAUCCUGGUCGGACAUCAGGAGGUUAGUGCAAUGGCAUAAGCCAGCUUGACUGCGAGCGUGACGGCGCGAGCAGGUGCGAAAGCAGGUCAUAGUGAUCCGGUGGUUCUGAAUGGAAGGGCCAUCGCUCAACGGAUAAAAGGUACUCCGGGGAUAACAGGCUGAUACCGCCCAAGAGUUCAUAUCGACGGCGGUGUUUGGCACCUCGAUGUCGGCUCAUCACAUCCUGGGGCUGAAGUAGGUCCCAAGGGUAUGGCUGUUCGCCAUUUAAAGUGGUACGCGAGCUGGGUUUAGAACGUCGUGAGACAGUUCGGUCCCUAUCUGCCGUGGGCGCUGGAGAACUGAGGGGGGCUGCUCCUAGUACGAGAGGACCGGAGUGGACGCAUCACUGGUGUUCGGGUUGUCAUGCCAAUGGCACUGCCCGGUAGCUAAAUGCGGAAGAGAUAAGUGCUGAAAGCAUCUAAGCACGAAACUUGCCCCGAGAUGAGUUCUCCCUGAGACUUAAAGUCUCCUGAAGGAACGUUGAAGACGACGACGUUGAUAGGCCGGGUGUGUAAGCGCAGCGAUGCGUUGAGCUAACCGGUACUAAUGAACCGUGAGGCUUAACCUUACAACGCCGAAG